rnacentral:lncRNA from 1 species
CCACCCUCCACAGAUGACAACUGCAGCCCAGACGACCCAUGGCUAGGACUCUGACAUCCAGCCAUCUCAAUAUUCCAGAGAAGAGGAUGAGUGUGAAGGGUGGUGGCGAUUUUAAACAAGGUGAUCAGGAAGACCUUGUGGAUAACUUCGGGUCUGAGCACACUCCAUCAGGGUUUCCGUAGCAACCAGAGGACUUCACAGGAGAGAGUGAAGGGGAAUUAAGAGCCAGAGAGAGCAGAGGAGAGAGGAGGAGUCCGGAAGAUGCCUGGCUUGGGACCCGAGAGUGGCAGAAUAGCAAAGCCUGCAGCAGCCACAGCACUGUGGUCCUGAGACCCAGGCCAACUUCCUAGAGGACUGGUCGGUGACUUCAGAGGGUAGGGGUGGCCUGGGCCAACACCCAAUUCCAGCUGUCCCUCUGCCCCCAUACAUGCAGCCCCCCGAAAACCCAGAUUCCAAAACCACCUUCUUGGACUCUUCCCUGUUUCUAGCUUCUGACAUUCAAUCAUCUCAAUAUGACAAAUAUCACCAAGUCCUGCAGAAUAUUUCUUCACAAAGAACUGCCCCCUGUCCCAUCAUAAAGACACCUGGGCCACCCCAUGCUCUUCCAACCCAUCUCCCUGCCCAGUCUCUCCCUGGGCUUUUUCUAUACCCUCCCCCUCCCGCCCUCUGCAAGGAGCCCUUGGU